AGUUCAAAGUGAAACGUGAAAGGAAGAGUUUGUUGGGAGGACUGGGAGACACAGCUGAGUCAAUCACCAUAAUGUAGAGCAAAAGACAGAGAAAAGGUCUUCAAAUGACACGUGCAGCCGCCUGUGCCCGGAGAGCGAGCCUAGAGAAGUGCAGUAAGGAAGGACGCACGCUGCUUUUCAAACCUUAGUGGAGUUAAAAUUUUACAUAUGAAUAAAGUGUCUUAUGAAGAAUCUUU